ACAAUUAACAAGCCUCCAGCGUAAAGCGUGUUCAAACAAAAUACUAAUAAUAAAGUUAAUAUCUAACUAAGUUGUAACACACUCCAGUUAAUACUAAGAUAAACUAUUAAAAUAACUUUAAUAAAGCUGAUACACGAAAACUAAGGUACAAACUGGGAUUAGAUACCCCACUAUGCUUAGUCAUAAACCAAAGUAGUUAUAUAACAAAACUACUCGCCAGAGAACUACUAGCUACUGCUUAAAACUCAAAGGACUUGGCGGUGCCCUAGACCCACCUAGAGGAGCCUGUUCUAUAAUCGAUAAACCCCGAUAUACCCAACCCCAUCUUGCCAAUACAGCCUAUAUACCGCCAUCGUCAGCCCACCUUAAAAAAGAUACAAAGUAAGCAAAAUUAUUUUUUCAUAAAAACGUUAGGUCAAGGUGUAGCAUAUGAUAGGGAAAGAAAUGGGCUACAUUAUCUAGCUUAGAUUACACGAAUCACACUAUGAAAUUUAAUGUGCCUGAAGGAGGAUUUAGUAGUAAAUUAAGAAUAGAGUGCUUAAUUGAAUUAGGCAAUAGGGCCCGCACACACCGCCCGUCACCCUCCUCAACUCAACCUACAAAAAUACUUAAUAAUUUAUCUAAAUAAAGAGGAGAAAAGUCGUAACACGGUAAGUGUACUGGAAAGUGCACUUGGAAUAUCAAAAUG
rnacentral:ncRNA from 1 species